rnacentral:rRNA from 1 species
CCUACGGGAGGCAGCAGUGAGGAAUAUUGGUCAAUGGGCGGAAGCCUGAACCAGCCAAGUAGCGUGCGGGAUGAAGGCCCUACGGGUCGUAAACCGCUUUUGCACGGGGAUAACACCCUCCACUUGUGGAGGUCUGCAGGUAUCGUGCGAAUAAGGGCCGGCUAAUUCCGUGUCAGCAGACGCGGUAAUACGGAAGGGCCGAGCGUUAUCCGGAUUCAUUGGGCUUUAAGGGAGCGUAGGCGGGCGUUCAAGUCUGCGGGAAAAUCGCGCGGCUCAACCGCGCCCCGCAGUUGAAACUGGACGCCUUGAGUUCACAACAGGCAGGCGGAAUUCGUGGUGUAGCGGUGAAAUGCAUAGAUAUCACGAGGAACCCCGAUUGCGAAGGCAGCCUGCCGGGGUGCGACUGACGCUGAGGCUCGAAGGUGCGGGUAUCAAACAGGAUUAGAUACCCCGGUAGUC